GACGAACGCUGGCGGCGUGCUUAACACAUGCAAGUCGAACGGUAAGGCCCUUCGGGGUACCCGAGUGGCGAACGGGUGAGUAACGCGUGAGUAACCUGCCCUUCACUCUGGGAUAACAGUUGGAAACGGCUGCUAAUACCGGAUAUUCAGCUCCUGUCGCAUGGUGGGGGGUGGAAAGUUUUGGUGGUGGAGGAUGGGCUCGCGUCCUAUCAGCUUGUUGGUGGGGUGAUGGCCUACCAAGGCGUCGACGGGUAGCCGGCCUGAGAGGGCGACCGGCCACAUUGGGACUGAGAUACGGCCCAAACUCCUACGGGAGGCAGCAGUGGGGAAUAUUGCACAAUGGGCGGAAGCCUGAUGCAGCAACGCCGCGUGCGGGAUGACGUCCUUCGGGUUGUAAACCGCUUUCAGCAGGGACGAAGCGCAAGUGACGGUACCUGCAGAAGAAGCACCGGCUAACUACGUG
rnacentral:rRNA from 1 species